UAAAGCAAACAUGUCCGCAAUAGGCAUUAGUAAGAGGCGAUUGGAGGAUUGGUGGAAGAAAAGUAGGGAAACGACAAAAGACGGAGACGUACAAAAGCACAGUCCGCAAUAGACAUCAGUAAGAGGCGAUUGGAGGAUUGGUGGAAGAAAAGUAGGGAAACGACAAAAGACGGAGACGUACAAAAGCACAGUUCGCAAUAGGGUGUCAGAAAAUUUGGACGUGGUAGUUCAUAGUGGUUUUUUUUUUUUUUUUUU